AGCAGCCGCGGUAAUUCCAGCUCCAAUAGCGUAUAUUAAAGUUGUUGCAGUUAAAAAGCUCGUAGUUGAAUUUCGGGAUCAGUUGAUCGGUCGUGCCUCGGUACGUGCUGGUCAAAUUGAUUCCUACCUUCUGACGAACCACGAUGUCAUUAAUUUGGUGUCGUGGGAAAUCAGGACUGUUACUUUGAAAAAUUGGAGUGUUUAAAGCAGGCUCGCGCUUGAAUACAUUAGCAUGGGAAUAAUGAAAUAGGACGUUUGAUUCUAUUUUGUUGGUUUCUAGGAUCGACGUAAUGAUUAAUAGGGAUAGUUGGGGGCAUUAGUAUUCAAUUGUCAGAGGUGAAAUUCUUGGAUUUAUUGAAGACUAACUACUGCGAAAGCAUUUGCCAAGGAUGUUUUCAUUAAUCAAGAACGAAAGUUAGGGGAUCGAAGACGAUCAGAUACCGUCGUAGU
rnacentral:rRNA from 1 species